GCAAAUAGUGAGGGGAUUUUUUGGUGUGGCUAUUUGUCGCCUAUUUGUCAUUGCGAUUACGCAGCCAAUGCGCAAAUAACGCAAUAAUACAAC
rfam:Staphylococcus saprophyticus strain CNV2 Spades_5, whole genome shotgun sequence.